rnacentral:rRNA from 1 species
GACGAACGCUGGCGGCGCGCCUAAUACAUGCAAGUAGGACGCAGUUGCGAACGGGUGAGUAACGCGUAGGUAACUGCCUAUUCGAGGGGGAUAACGAUUGGAAACGAUAGCUAAUACCGCAUACUAGUAGAUGGACCUGCGUUGUAUUAGAUAGUAGGUAGGGUAAUGGCCUACCUAGGCGACGAAACAUAGCCGACCUUGAAGGGGGAGCGGCCACACUGGGACGUGGGCAUGGGCCAGAAUCCUACGGGAGGCAGCAGUAGAGAAUCUUCGGCAAUGGGGGGAAUGCUUAACGAGCAACGACGGGUGGAUGAAGAAGGUUUUCGGGUCGUAAAGCUCUUUUGUUCAGGAAGCGGUACUUAACCAGAAAGGAACGGCUAACUACGUGCCAGCAGCCGCGGUAAUAC